rnacentral:rRNA from 1 species
CGGGAAUUUUGGGCAAUGGGCGAAAGCCUGACCCAGCAACGCCGCGUGAGGGAUGAAGUGUUUCGGUAUGUAAACCUCGAAAGAAUGGGAAGAAUAAAUGACGGUACCAUUUAUAAGCUCCGGCUAACUACGUGCCAGCAGCCGCGGUAAUACGGAGGGUGCGAGCGUUGUUCGGAAUUACUGGGCGUAAAGCGCGUGCAGGCGGUCUCUUAAGUCUGGUGUGAGAGCCCGGGGCUCACCCCCGGAAGGGCACUGGAGACUGGGAGGCUAGAGUACCGGAGAGGAAGGUGGAAUUCCUGGUGUAGCGGUGAAAUGCGUAGAUAUCAGGAGGAACACCCGUGGCGAAGGCGGCCUUCUGGACGGCUACUGACGCUGAGACGCGAAAGCGUGGGGAGCAAACA